rnacentral:rRNA from 1 species
UCUCCUACGGGAGGCAGCAGUGGGGAAUAUUGCGCAAUGGACGGAAGUCUGACCCAGCCAUGCCGCGUGCAGGAAUGACGGCCCUAUGGGUUGUAGACUGCUUUUGUGUGGGAAGAAACCCCUUUACGUGUAGAGGGCUGACGGUACUACUUGAAUAAGCAUCGGCUAACUCCGUGCCAGCAGCCGCGGUAAU